CCUACGGGUGGCUGCAGUGGGGAAUAUUGCACAAUGGGGGAAACCCUGAUGCAGCGACGCCGCGUGAGCGAUGAAGUAUUUCGGUAUGUAAAGCUCUAUCAGCCGGGAAGAAAAUGACGGUACCUGACUAAGAAGCCCCGGCUAACUACGUGCCAGCAGCCGCGGUCAUACGUAGGGGGCAAGCGUUAUCCGGGUUUACUGGGUGUAAAGGGAGCGUAGACGGCUGUGCAAGCCAGAUGUGAAAGCGCGGGGCUCAAACCCGGGACUGCAUUUGGAACUGUGUGGCUGGAGUGUCGGAGAGGCAGGCGGAAUUCCUGGUGUAGCGGUGAAAUGCGUAGAUAUUAGGAGGAACACCAGUGGCGAAGGCGGCCUGCUGGACGAUGACUGACGUUGAGGCUCGAAAGCGUGGGGAGCAAACAGGAUUAGAUACCCUGGUAGUC
rnacentral:rRNA from 1 species